CUUUUUAUCUCAUAUGAAAGUCAGUAGGACUUGGAAAGAAACCAGAGACUGCAGGUCUAUGACUGUACUUGCUUCAGGAGAGAAGAGAGAAAGAGGCAGGUGUUUCCAGAUUGUCUCUGUCAAGUGACAGAGAGGUGACUGUGGAGCUGUGGUCUAUGAGGAAGGUCCAAGCUUUGAACGAUGAUCAUGGAGCCAGCUAUGGGCUAUCCACGUCCCUAAACUAUGAUGCUUAGAGAACACUGCACUGCCUCAGUCACCUGGGGUCACGUUUGUUCCUAUGCUUGGGCUCCUUUCAGGGGCAUCUGAGAAAGGAAAGAGGGAUCAUCAGGACCCUAAAAAUUGAUAAGCAAGUUUGGAAGUUCAGAAAACUCAGCUUGGAGAGAGCAGAGUUAGGAGGGCAAGUGAUCUGGACUGUGAGUGGGCAUGGGAUCAUCCAGGGCGCUCACCUUUUGCACGCAUUGCCCUGGGGCAGUCCUGUGUGUUGCUGGCAUUGCUUUUCAGCAGAGAUAGAGGCUAGGUCCCAAUGGUGAUUUCCCUCCUUGCCAAGGGGAACCUGCCGCCCCAAGGGUGUCCAGCGUUUCUGAAAGCCGCCUGUCUGGGCCCACCUCCCCCUGCAGUCCCGCUCAGUGGCCACGGCCUGACCCAGGACUCGGACCUAAGUUGUCCCUGUGGAAUGGGGCUGUACUCACCCGGCUUCUGGCUUGGCACAGACUGCCCUGGAGAGCAGAGACUGAGGUCCAGGUGAGGGUCCUUCCUCAGGGGCCAUACACACUUGUUCAGCUUCUCUCAGGAGGUUUACAUGGGUGCCCCCAGGCUUUCUGAGACAUUACUGGAUUUGGCCUCAGAUGGCAGCAAACAGAUGGGGGGAGUUAAAUUCCUCAGGGCCGAGAGUCAUGACUGUUAAUGAUCCUGGGUAAGCCGUGGGGCUUUCAGCCUCUUUGAGAAGCUGCCAACUAGUCCUUGGGGCCGAGCCUGGAAUCACAUCUGCCAGCUGUCCCUGAAAUGUUCCAGUUUGCCAUUCCUUAAACAUGCCUCCCAACCUGCUCCCCAAGGUUAGGACUUACCACUUGUAAGGCAGGGGAAAAGUGAAAGUGUUCGUCACUCAGUCGUGCCCGACUCUUUGCAACCGCAUGGACUGUAGCCCACCAGGCUCCUCUGUCCAUGGGAUUCUCCAGGCAAGAGUACUGGAGUGGGUUGCCAUUUCCUUCUCCCAGGGAUUGAACCUGGGUCUCCUGCAUUGCAGGCAGAUUUUUUACCAUCUGAGCCAGCAGGGAAGGCAGGAUGAGGGCCCUGACAACACCAACACCCAGCUUCAGAAGCCCCUGCCCAGGACCCAGUCGGCUCUUCCCUCCAGCUUUGCCUGAGGGGCAAGGAUGCUCGUGUGUGAGGCUUUGAAGUCCAGACCUGAUUGGAGAGAAAAAUAAUGCUUCGUGAAUAUAUUGCUUGAUCAACUCCUAGGAUUCAAACUGAGCUCAUGGUGAGAAGCCUGGAUCCACUCGUCUGGGGGUCACAGGGCCCACAACCCAUGCUCCUGGGGGUGACAGAGCAACACAGGUAGGGCUGUGUAUGCUUUUACUCUUCUCCAUUUAAGGAUUUGUGGGAUUUUUGCUAUAAUGAUUCUCUCUGGAAAAAAAAAUUUUUUUUAAUGAGCCAAACCUUUACUUGUACUUUUCUGACAUGCACUUGGCCACAGGCUGCUUUGUGCUUACUACCUACCUUUGCCCAGAUGAUGCUCUGGCUUCCCAAGCGAGGACCACAAGCUUCAGAUACCACCAACUCAACCUUCCACUAUAAACCAUUAUCUGGUGGCCAAAGAGAGAUUAGGGAAAACAAAAACUGGGUAUUGGACCCAACCUUUAGAGUAUAGAAAAGUGAUGCUGAGGGAUGUAGACUAACCUGAGCUGUUUUUCUCCUUUUUGAGGGAAGGCGACAUGGUGUCUUUAUACCACUGCCCAGGAAUUGCUGGUUACCUGAUCUUUUACAUCAUCAGUUCCUUACUUUGGAUGUCAUUCAUAGGGAGUAUCCUUGACACGCUUUGAAGGAGGAGGCCCUGCCCGUACCCCUCCCUCCCUGCUGACGGAGGUGGGGGUGAGGGUUGAGUCUGUGAUUAAGAUGGUCAGCAAGAUGGAAUGCGCAUUCUUGGCGGAGGGCAUCGUCUCCAGCAAUGAGUGUUGCUGUUCCAUAUACCCGCACAGCCUCCUCCUCCGGGUAGGACCAGAUUCCUGUAGGAGGCAGCGGGACACAGCCACCUGGUUGAGAAGCCCCGGUCUGGUGCACAGUCAUUGUAGCUCCACCGUCACCCAUCCCCCUCCCUCACCUUCACAUCCUCCGGGGCUUGAUUCUUUCUGAGACCUUCCUUUCUAUUCCGGACCUCAGAUUAAACCUGUGUGCACAGAGUUUGUAGCCAGUAGUCGGAAACCAGUGGUUUCCAAAAAUGCCCCAGCCACAUGGGCCCACGUGUUUCAAUGCUGCUUCCAAUUCUUGUUAUCCAAUCCCUGGGCUUGUUUUACCUUCAGCCUUCUAGAUCAUCCUAAGUGCUAUGACACACAGCGCGUCCUGUGGCCAAACAGCAGGGCCCUUUCCUGGAAUCCUUUUUCAGCCAGCUCAAAGUAAAAACACCCUCCAUCACACCACUCCAUCCAGUGACCUGCCUCUCCUGGAUCGAUGUUUAGCCUUAAGACCCUUGAAUGGAACUCCAACCGUGAUGGCGCUGCCAACACUCUUCCCUCUCCCCCCUCCUCACAUAGUGUUGCUUAAAGAGGAGACCCCCGAGGGCCUGCUCAGGCCCCCUACACGGCCUCUCCUCUGUCACUCCGUCACUGCACUGCCUUCUCGCUCGCGUCAAUAAAAAUGACCUUCACCAGCUCUCGUGCCCUCUAACUGGAUGAGAUCUCAGCGUCCCCCCAGCACGAACCACAGCCAUCAGAGACAGCACCCAGGGUGUUCAUGUUGAGAUGUUUCAACUGACUGCGCCUCCAGCUUAACUUAGUUUCAAAUGAAACUUCAUUCUCACGUGAGCCUAUUGGACUUAUUCUGGAACCUCUAGAACUGGACCUGACUACCCCACAGGUACCAGACCGGUGGGUGCCCUCCCCCACUACCCACCAGGAAGUGUUUCUUGGAGCCACUAUCUUUUUAUCUGUGACUUCAGAGUCAGCCAACAGAUCCACUAGUCAUUCAAGGAGAUGUUCAUGGAUCUUGUUAUCAGGAUAUGAACUGCUUUUAUAUGAAGAAAGAUGCACCCCCUCCCCCCCCAAUGAAUUCACUCUCACUAUUCAGACACUGUGUGUGUGCAUCCGUCAGAGACUGUCCCACAUUUCGCCAGUCCUUUGAGGACACGUCUGCUCACGAGCGGUUCGUCAUUUUGGGACUCCUCCUUGUAUUAACACUCUUGCCAUUGAGUCCUGCCAAAUCCUCCAUUGGAUUUCUCUUCUUCCUUUGUAUCUGUCAUUUAGUCCAAAGGAGCAUGAAUCAAUCAACAGAAGUGCAAAUGAGCUGAUACUAUCUUUGUGGUCAACUGAGGACGCUGCCAAAACUCUGCUGUCUGACUGCAACCCGGGGACAUGAAGAGGAACGGGUGGCCCCACCACUGAUAUUCCCUUCUCAACAUUUUUAAAUAAGCACAAGUGAUAUUUGUAAAAAGAAAAAAAAAAGUUUAAUUUUAUUUAUUAUGGUAAAUAAACUAUUUUAUAAUGAUCAUACAUGAUUGCUUUUGCCUUUCCUUGUAUAAACUUCCAGGCACUGAAUUAGGUGAAUUACCUAAGAUAAAAGAACUAGGUGGUACUUUCAUAGACCUUUUCAAAAGCCUUGGGACCUCUAAUUUGG
ensembl:lncRNA